CUGAGUAACUGUUCAUCCACAUUUGUAUUUACCCGUGUCUCUAAGCCUGGUAACUAAUAUUUUAAAAAUGCCUGCUCUCAACUCAUGGAUGACAAAGAAACGUGACUUCGUGCAAAGAAUAUCAGACAAGGAAAAACAGUAAGGAUAUAGGUGAGCAACUUUUACAGAAUUGUAAAUGCAUACAUUAUUUGUUUUUAUGUAUGUUAUAGAAAUUGGCCUCUAAUAACCAGAGGGGGUGGUGGGAUAUAAUAUUGGCCACCAGAUCUCUAAUAACCAGAGGUAGCCUCCAC